AUUGAACGCUGGCGGCAGGCCUAACACAUGCAAGUCGAGCGGGGUUUUCGGACCUAGCGGCGGACGGGUGAGUAAUGCGUAGGAAGCUGCCCGAUAGAGGGGGAUACCAGUUGGAAACGACUGUUAAUACCGCAUAAUGUCUACGGACCAAAGUGUGGGACCUUCGGGCCACAUGCUAUCGGAUGCGCCUACGUGGGAUUAGCUAGUUGGUUAGGUAAUGGCUCACCAAGGCGACGAUCUCUAGCUGGUUUGAGAGGAUGAUCAGCCACACUGGAACUGAGACACGGUCCAGACUCCUACGGUAGGCAGCAGUGGGGAAUAUUGGACAAUGGGCGCAAGCCUGAUCCAGCCAUGCCGCGUGUGUGAAGAAGGCCUUCGGGUUGUAAAGCACUUUCAGCGAGGAGGAAGGGGUGUGUGUUAAUAGUACACACCUUUGACGUUACUCGCAGAAGAAGCACCGGCUAACUCUGUGCCAGCCGCCGCCGUAAUAC
rnacentral:rRNA from 1 species